rnacentral:misc_RNA from 1 species
CUUUGGCAUGGCUAGAAUAUUUGGGGGAAACCAAAAUGAAUUGAACACAAACCGAGUUGUUGGCACAUAUGGCUAUAUGUCACCUGAAUAUGCAAUGGAAGGCUUAUUUUCAGUGAAAUCUGAUGUCUAUAGCUUUGGAGUGUUACUAUUAGAGAUUGUAAGUGGCCGGAGGAACACCAGCUUUCGUUUAACCGAUCAUGUCAGCCUCAUCGCUUAUGCAUGGGAACUUUGGCAUGAAGAUAAAGCAAUGGAGCUUGUUGAUCCAUUGAUUCGAGAUUCGUGUUGCAAGAAUGAAGUAUUAAAAUGCAUACAAGUAGGGAUGUUGUGUGUGCAAGAUUCUGCGGUUCAUAGACCAACCAUGUCAUCUGUGAUUUUAAUGCUAGAAAGCAGUAGUCCAACCCUGCCAUUGCCUAGGCAACCCACUUACACUUCAAUGAGAGCCUCCAUAGAUACAUCUGAAAUCUAUCCUGAAGGUCAGGAAAUUGUAUCCUCAAAUGAUGUGACAGUUACAAUGAUUGUUGGGAGAUGAUUACCAUUCGAGUAUCUCCCUUUCCCACUCUCUUGCAUCAUUUUAUUAUGCAAGUAAAUUCAACAUCUGUUCAGAAUUUUUGUCAAUCAAUUUUGUUUUUUGGGGGCAUUCCUGCAUUGUUUUUUCUUUUGCUCAUUAUCAUGUUCAUACUGGAACUUGUUUCCAUUAACUUUUUCUAUGUGGGUUAGCAAGAAAUUCCAGCACUAGCAAUGACUUGCGGUUGAGUUCAAACUUUCUCACUUCAGGCUUGGACAAUGAGGAUUGCAUUUCUGGAAGCAGAAUCUUCAAAACAAAGAAAAGCAUUUAUUUAUGAGAUGUUGAUCAACUCAGGACAAAAUGUACCCAUCUGUAAUAUAUAUCCCUAAAUUGCAUAUAUCUUUGUCUAUAUCCACCUAAUGAAUAUUAAAAAUGCUUUUGGCCUCUUGCAAUUAAAAAUGAUUAGAUGCUGUUAUGGCUGAGUCAGAG